rnacentral:misc_RNA from 1 species
GAUGAAGAACGCAGCGAAAUGCGAUAAGUAAUGUGAAUUGCAGAAUUCAGUGAAUCAUCGAAUCUUUGAACGCACCUUGCACCCUUUGGCAUUCCGAAGGGUAUGCUCGUUUGAGUGUCAUUGUACUCUCACACUCUCCGAUCCUAUGGAUUCGGGGAGCGGUGGACUUGGGUGUUGCUGCCUUUCCUUGUGGCUCACCUCAAAUGUGUCAGUGCACCUCUUGGUUGGACAUAGUACGGCGUGAUAAGUGUCUUCGCCGGCACCUCGCAAGAGGGUGGCCGAUCGGGAGCUCUGUGCUGUCAAACCGUCUUCGGACAAUUUCUGACAACUUGACCUCAAAUCGAGUAGGACUACCCGCUGAACUUAAGCAUAUCAAUAAGCGGAGGA